AGCUCUGGGCUGGGUUAUUUCCUUGCUUAGAGGGACGAAACCACACGUGAAUGCUGUUCUCACAUAGGUGGCUGUGCAAGGCAAAGACCCCGUUGCUUUGCGCCCAGAGUCAGAAGUGGCGCUGCUGCUGGAGAAGUUUGCCCGUAGGUUUCUUUGCUGCACGACAAAUUUAAUUCAUCUUCGCCCUCAUACAGCACGCCAGGUUCUUGUGAUCGGAGGAGAAUACUGACCUGACAUGGAAGUCAAAACAUCAUUUAGCAAAGCCAGUAGGAUUCCUGAAACUGUAUCCAGAUUAAUCAAUGAAGAAUUUGUCCUGGUUUAUCAGCAAUUGGGGGAUGCUUCUGGAAAAUAUGAAGAACUUCAGCUAAAAGUUCGUGAUUAUUUUAAAUGUGUGGUAUUUUCAAAUGGAGAUGAUCAGCCGGAGAAGGCAAUGGAAGAGAUACUGAGGGAUUCGGAAAAAGACCAGAACAAUUUCCCUGCUCUCCAAGGAGGUUCCAGCGAGGCAGGAGAUGGGGUCAGCAGGUCAAACAAAUCAGCCAUCUCUGCACCUCCUU
rnacentral:lncRNA from 1 species